rnacentral:rRNA from 1 species
GACGAACGCUGGCGGCGUGCUUCAUACAUGCAAGUCGAACGAGAAGCUGACUUCGGUCAGUGGACAGUGGCGGACGGGUGCGUAAUAUGUAGGAAAUCUGCCUUUAGGAGGGGGACAACAGAGGGAAACUUCUGCUAAUACCCCAUAUGAGCGUAGCUGAAAUGCUAUUCUUGAAAACUCCGGUGCCUAAAGAUGAGCCUGCAUCUGAUUAGCUAGUUGGUAGUGUAAUGGACUACCAAGGCGACGAUCAGUAGCUGGUUUGAGAGGAUGAUCAGCCACAAGGGGACUGAGACACGGCCCAUAAUCCUACGGGAGACAGCAGUAGGGAAUUUUGCGAAAUGGGCGAAAGCCUGACGCAGCAACGCCGCGUGAACGAUUAAGCCCUUCGGGGUGUAAAGUUCUGUCAGUGGGGACGAAACUUGACGGUACCCACAGAGGAAGCACCGGCUAACUCCGUG